UCUCUGCACGAAUACCGAGAGAAAACGAACGGGUGUUCUUCGUGUUCUUCAUAAUCAAACGAGGAUUUGAAGGCGUUAUUGGAAUCCGAUGGAGGCGUAUGAAUAGUCAAAACGAAGCUAUCGACGCGUAGAAUCAAGUUUAAUUAUCCUUUCGUGUGCAGAUUCAACAGGAUUUGGGACGAGACGUAUACGAUCGAAGACAUUCAGAAGGUCAAACGAUGAUGCAAAGCGAAUGAGAAAUGAAUCGAAGAGACGAAGUCGUAUUACGAAUAGAGUAUAUACAGAGAUGGUCGGGAGGUUAUGAUAUGCAUAGAUUGUGAGAUGGAAAGAUAAGAUUAAGCUGUGUGUGGAAGCGGAUUUAAGGCAAGUUUUCCUAAAUCCUUCCUCAUAUAUAUAUUGCAUGUGCUGAUUUUUCUGUCAAGAUUGUGAUAUUGUUUAUACUGAAACCCCUCUCAAAUGAACUCUUACUUCUGAGCAUGAAACCAUGAUUGUUUUCUUCUUCCAAGUUUUGAAAAGCCAAACACCUAAUUACUCUCAAUUUCUACUACAAGUAUUCUGAUCCAUUCUUUCCAAACCUCAAGAUUUUAAAAUACCAGUUCUACAAAUUAAUUCGAAGUUCAGACCGUCAUUGAAGCAUGUGUUGCUCAGUGAUAGUUAGAGCCUAGAAUGAAAUGGGAUCUUCUUGAUUAUUCAACCCGCCAUUGUCAUGCUGGUUUAGCAGGCUAAAUUCAGUUGCUUAGCCGAUAAUGGAGGAUACUGAAUAGUUAGGAAUUUCCUGAACUAUGAUUUAUCAAAAGACAGACUGUGGUUUAUGAAAUGUUGAUCCUCAAAAGUUGAUUUGAAAUAUUUCUGUUGUUGAUAAUGAUUAUGAUUCUGUUCUGUUGAUUGAUUUGUCUAUUAAUUUAAAUUGUUAGAAUUGGAUUAGUUUUAUAAAAUAUGUGGACCAGAUUCGUGGUCAGACCAGAUUCGUGGUCAAUUAUAGGCCAAUGUGUGCCUUGGAUCCAGUAUAGAGAACAGGGCUGUGUGCCAUGUUCGGGGUUAGUGCGUGACUGAUCAGCAGCCUAACCUUUGGUUUUUAAGUAAAAUGUGAUGAAUCCAAUUCGACAAUUCUUCU